CCUACGGGAGGCAGCAGUGAGGAAUAUUGGUCAAUGGACGAAAGUCUGCACCAGCCAAGUAGCGUGAAGGAUGACGGCCCUAUGGGUUGUAAACUUCUUUUAUAUGGGAAUAAAAUGUCCCACGUGUGGGGUUUUGUAUGUACCAUAUGAAUAAGGAUCGGCUAACUCCGUGCCAGCAGCCGCGGUAAUACGGAGGAUCCGAGCGUUAUCCGGAUUUAUUGGGUUUAAAGGGAGCGUAGGUGGUUUGUUAAGUCAGUUGUGAAAGUUUGGGGCUCAACCGUAGAAUUGCAGUUGAAACUGGCAGUCUUGAGUACAGUAGAGGUGGGCGGAAUUCGUGGUGUAGCGGUGAAAUGCUUAGAUAUCACGAAGAACUCCGAUUGCGAAGGCAGUUCACUGGACUGCAACUGACACUGAGGCUCGAAAGUGUGGGUAUCAAACAGGAUUAGAUACCCUGGUAGUC
rnacentral:rRNA from 1 species